rnacentral:SRP_RNA from 1 species
CCUGUAUGUAAAAUUUGUGGUGUGGACCUAGCUAUUCAGGAGGCUGAGGUAGAAGGAUUACUUGAUCCCAGGAGUUCUGGGCUAUAGUGCUCUGUGCUAAUCAGGUGUCUACACUUAAGUUCAGCAUCAAUAUGGUGACUUCCCAGGAGAGGAGGACCACAAAGUUGCCUAAGGAGGGAUGAAUUGGUCCAGGUCAGAAGCAGAGGAGGUCAAAACUCCUAUGUAGUUCAGUAGUGGUAUUGUGCCUGUGAAUAGCCACUAUACUCUAGCCUGGGCAACAUAGUAAGACCCUGUCUCU